rfam:Salmo salar isolate Sally breed double haploid chromosome ssa25, whole genome shotgun sequence.
AUAUAUUUUAGUAAUAAAAAAAAAAAAUCUGUUCUUAUCAGUUUAAUAUCUGAUACGUCCCCCAUCGGGGGACUACAUAUUAAAUGGAUUUUUCGAACAGGGAGUCGGAAAUGGUGCUUGCUCCGUCCGCUCCACGCAUCGCCCCGGUAUUGCAGUACCUCCGGGAACGGUGCAACACUU